GAUGAACGCUGGCGGCGUGCCUAAUACAUGCAAGUCGAGCGAACGGACGAGAAGCUUGCUUCUCUGAUGUUAGCGGCGGACGGGUGAGUAACACGUGGAUAACCUACCUAUAAGACUGGGAUAACUUCGGGAAACCGGAGCUAAUACCGGAUAAUAUUUUGAACCGCAUGGUUCAAAAGUGAAAGACGGUCUUGCUGUCACUUAUAGAUGGAUCCGCGCUGCAUUAGCUAGUUGGUAAGGUAACGGCUUACCAAGGCAACGAUGCAUAGCCGACCUGAGAGGGUGAUCGGCCACACUGGGACUGAGACACGGUCCAGACUCCUACGGGAGGCAGCAGUAGGGAAUCUUCCGCAAUGGGCGAAAGCCUGACGGAGCAACGCCGCGUGAGUGAUGAAGGUCUUCGGAUCGUAAAACUCUGUUAUUAGGGAAGAACAUAUGUGUAAGUAACUGUGCACAUCUUGACGGUACCUAAUCAGAAAGCCACGGCUAACUACGUGCCAGCAGCCGCGGUAAUACGUAGGUGGCAAGCGUUAUCCGGAAUUAUUGGGCGCAAAGCGCGCGUAGGCGGUUUUUUAAGUCUGAUGUGAAAGCCCACGGCUCAACCGUGGAGGGUCAUUGGAAACUGGAAAACUUGAGUGCAGAAGAGGGAAAGUGGAAUUCCAUGUGUAGCGGUGAAAUGCGCAGAGAUAUGGAGGAACACCAGUGGCGAAGGCGACUUUCUGGUCUGUAACUGACGCUGAUGUGCGAAAGCGUGGGGAUCAAACAGGAUUAGAUACCCUGGUAGUCCACGCCGUAAACGAUGAGUGCUAAGUGUUAGGGGGUUUCCGCCCCUUAGUGCUGCAGCUAACGCAUUAAGCACUCCGCCUGGGGAGUACGACCGCAAGGUUGAAACUCAAAGGAAUUGACGGGGACCCGCACAAGCGGUGGAGCAUGUGGUUUAAUUCGAAGCAACGCGAAGAACUUUACCAAAUCUUGACAUCCUUUGACAACUCUAGAGAUAGAGCCUUCCCCUUCGGGGGACAAAGUGACAGGUGGUGCAUGGUUGUCGUCAGCUCGUGUCGUGAGAUGUUGGGUUAAGUCCCGCAACGAGCGCAACCCUUAAGCUUAGUUGCCAUCAUUAAGUUGGGCACUCUAAGUUGACUGCCGGUGACAAACCGGAGGAAGGUGGGGAUGACGUCAAAUCAUCAUGCCCCUUAUGAUUUGGGCUACACACGUGCUACAAUGGACAAUACAAAGGGCAGCGAAACCGCGAGGUCAAGCAAAUCCCAUAAAGUUGUUCUCAGUUCGGAUUGUAGUCUGCAACUCGACUACAUGAAGCUGGAAUCGCUAGUAAUCGUAGAUCAGCAUGCUACGGUGAAUACGUUCCCGGGUCU
rnacentral:rRNA from 1 species